GCCGUUCAUCAAGCCUGAGAGGUGACGCAUAGCCGAAUGAGGCGAAUUCAGUGAUCCUAUGCUGCCGAGAAAAGCCUCUAGCGAGCUUUCACACGGCCCGUACCCCAAACCGACACAGGUGGUCAGGUAGAGAAUACUAAGGCGAUCGAGAUAACUAUGGUUAAGGAACUCGGCAAAAUGCCCCCGUAACUUCGGGAGAAGGGGGGCCUCGUCCGGUGAUCACUCUUGCAGUGUGAGCUGGGUGGGGCCGCAGAGACCAGUGAGAAGCGACUGUUUACUAAAAACACAGGUCCGUGCGAAGUCGUAAGACGAUGUAUACGGACUGACGCCUGCCCGGUGCUGGAAGGUUAAGAGGACCGGUUAGCCAGCAAUGGCGAAGCUGAGAAUUUAAGCCCCAGUAAACGGCGGUGGUAACUAUAACCAUCCUAAGGUAGCGAAAUUCCUUGUCGGGUAAGUUCCGACCUGCACGAAUGGCGUAACGACUUCUCAGCUGUCUCAACCAUAGACUCGGCGAAAUUGCAUUACGAGUAAAGAUGCUCGUUACGCGCGGCAGGACGAAAAGACCCCGGGACCUUCACUACAGCUUGGUAUUGGUGUUCGGUUCGGUUUGUGUAGGAUAGGUGGGAGACUGUGAAGCGCUCACGCCAGUGAGUGUGGAGUCGUUGUUGAAAUACCACUCUGAUCGUAUUGGACCUCUAACCUCGGACCAUGAUCUGGUUCAGGGACAGUGCCUGGUGGGUAGUUUAACUGGGGCGGUUGCCUCCCAAAAUGUAACGGAGGCGCCCAAAGGUUCCCUCAGCCUGGUUGGCAAUCAGGUGUCGAGUGCAAGUGCACAAGGGAGCUUGACUGUGAGACUGACAGGUCGAGCAGGGACGAAAGUCGGGACUAGUGAUCCGGCACCGGCAAGUGGAAGCGGUGUCGCUCAACGGAUAAAAGGUACCCCGGGGAUAACAGGCUGAUCUUCCCCAAGAGUCCAUAUCGACGGGAUGGUUUGGCACCUCGAUGUCGGCUCGUCGCAUCCUGGGGCUGGAGUAGGUCCCAAGGGUUGGGCUGUUCGCCCAUUAAAGCGGCACGCGAGCUGGGUUUAGAACGUCGUGAGACAGUUCGGUCUCUAUCCGCCGCGCGCGUAAGAAACUUGAGGAAGGCUGUCCCUAGUACGAGAGGACCGGGACGGACGAACCUCUGGUGUGCCAGUUGUUCCACCAGGAGCACCGCUGGUUAGCUACGUUCGGAAGGGAUAACCGCUGAAAGCAUCUAAGCGGGAAGCCUGUUCCAAGAUGAGGUUUCUCACCCCCUCGAGGGGGUAAGGCCCCCGGCAGACCACCGGGUUGAUAGGCCAGAACUGGAAGUCCGGUAACGGAUGCAGGUGACUGGUACUAAUAGGCCGAGGACUUACCACAA
rnacentral:rRNA from 1 species